AGAGCAAUAAUGGAAAGACUGAGGAUAAAAUGUCUUUGUGUCUCAAGAAAUGAUUGUGUUGUAGAAGGUGAGCUGGAGUUUUUCGGGAUCACUGUUACUAAAGUUCUGACAUCUGGUUCUAGCAGGAGAAUCAAUCCCAAUGCAGCUGUAAUCUCACUCUAAAAGGGACAAGAAAGAAGAUUUUUCUCUUGUAGCUCCUCUAAGAUUUACCUGUCCUGUGCUAAAACAUCUCAUGCAUCCGGGCUAUUUCUGUCUUUUGUAGUAGUGCUGGUUCAACCAGCUCAGCCUCAGAUCACCUGUUCUUUAUUCGUAAAAUAAGAAUAGUAAUAUUUAAGCCCAUGGCACAGUUGUGGCCUGAAUGAGAUAAUGUGACAUAUGUAGGUUGUUAACCUGCUUGGCAUAUAAUAGGUUCUCCAUAAAUGAUGGUUUUCUUCCUCUUCUCUAGAUCAGAGGUUACAAAGCCCAACUCUAUAGGCCAUUUUUGUAUGGGUGUUUGUUCUGGUGCAGAGGUAGGAUACAGAAGGUUGACCUUUGGAGAGGGCACCAUGCUUCUAGUCUCUCCAGGUAAAUGUUGACCCCAUUCUGCCCUUAUUUAAGGCUUCUACAUGUAUUUACAUGUGUUUUACCCUUAUGGUGCAUCUUCCUUGUUUUAUCAAUCUAUGAAUUUAAGAUCAAGCCUUCGUGGGGAACAUUUAAAAAUUAAAAUAUGCCCAAAAAAUGAAAAUAGGCGACAGCAGAUUUGGAAAUAACAGUAGAACCAAUCCACUAGGUCAGAAAGGAGCAGAGACUAAUACCCUAGACAUAAGACAAAAUGAAAAAGUAUCUUUGGAAAUAGCCUGGCUUCCUGUUCGAAGCUUGGAUAUGGUUUCUCCCCAGGCAUCCCUCCCAUUCCUCUUAGCCUCCGUACCCCAAAUUGAGCUGUAGAAUCCUGGACAAUCUGUGACAGACAAUCUGUGACAGCUUCUAAGCUAUGGGAAAUCUUUGAUUACUGAGAUCUUCCUAUUAAAACUAAAAGAUCCUUGAGAGCAGAGACUCUUGUUAUACCCCAGGAAGCAUCUAAUAUGGUCCUUUUACAAAGUAAGUGCUUCAUAAAUGCUUGUUUAAUGGAAAUCAGGCACCCAAGGAAAUCAAAUUUCUAGGCCAACAGAAGAAGAAAUAAAGUAAUUGACACAUUACAUCCAGGAUGUGGUGGAGAGGGGAAAACCUCUAGAUUAGGAAUCAAAUAGACCCGUGUUUGGUCUCUGCAACAACUAGCAGUGGAACUUAGGACAGAUCUCUGGCCUCUGGGCCUCAGUUUUCUCUCCUGUAAACAGGCAAGCAGGUAUGCAUGACCUCUCUGCCCCCACCCCCAUCCCCCCGCCCAGCACCAGCAGCCUAUGAAUGAGGAGGGGUACUUUUCCUCCUAUAAAUAACUUAUAUAGCUAUAUGAAAUCUUGAGUGUUUUCCAACUCAUUAGGGUAAAUCAGGAAGAGGUGAAGUAACAAUUGAUUGUGAGGCAUCAGACACUAUGGAACUGACUGUGAGAAACAACAAACUCACCUUUGGGACAGGUGCCUGGCUGAAGGUGGAGCUGGGUAAGUGGUGACUACAAAAUGUUUUCUGGUGACAGUGAUCGGGUGAAAAGGAGAUGUCAUAUGCAUCAUUUGUGCCUUAUUUAUGACGAAAUAUAAUCCAGUGCUGAUUUAUUCAGAAUUAUGGCACCCAGAUACAUUAGUGAAAGUUCAGAAUUAUGGCACCCAGAUACAUUAGUGAAAGUAUUCCAAGACUAUACAAGUAUAUUUUCUCUGGGGUGGGAUUUAGCAAACCAUUAAGACUCUCCCUGAGAUAUGAGGCUGGCAGAAGCUCUAUUAUCAGAGUUUUUAGCACUAGAAGUGAGCUAAAUGGAGCCUGAUUGAGAGGAAAAGCUAGAAGAGCAGAAAAUUGCAUGGCCAUGAUCUAAUGGACCUUUUCUCCUUCCAUUGAUUCAGAGAUAAACUGGGGCGGGGUGAGCCGGGGGAGGAUAUUCAAGGUCACUUGAUCCAUGCCCCAAAUAAGCUACACCAAAUUUACUCCAGAGAUUGUGUUCCUUUACACUAUAUGUGAUUCAAGAAGAAUCAGUGAAGUGCAGAGAAAAGAGCCCAAGGCUUCUGAUUUCAGUCAAAGUUCUCAACUUGGCUCCAGCUGGUGGUGUGACAUUGAGCAAGUCAUUGCUCCUCGGUGUGCCUUAGACUCCUCCAGUGUGAGUAGAGUGGUGCAAAGCAUUCAAAAUCCAUGGUUCUGGGACCUCACUCCUAUACCACCCUAGAGUUUAUAUGACUCAAGGGUGCUGACUCUUAUGGUUAUUUCAUAAACAAAUUCUACAACCUUGAAAAAAAAUACUCUUAUUAAUCAAUAAUCCAACUUAACCUAGAAAUAGUAAUUACCUUCUCAGUGCCUAGGAUGUGUGGAUGUGAUGCUAGGUAUGUGACAUAUGGCAUUGUUUAUCCUCAAAUAACUCUAUGGAGCAGAGGGCAAUAUCCCUAUUUUACAGACACAGAACAUGAGGCUCAGAAAAGUAAUCGCCCAAGAUCCCACCCAGUGUUAGUGAGUAGAAAAGUUUAGAUUCAACCAGGGUCUGUCUGCCUAAUCUCAAAGCUUUGCUCUUUCUACUACACUCUGUCACAGACCCUGCGCCAGGCCUUAGUUAGAAAUAAGAGACAAUGCCAAUCACAUGAGUAAGGAAAAAUAUGGAAUUUAUCUUUUCUAUUCUUAAAUAUUGCCAGGACUUACAGAUGGAGCUUUGGGUGGGAGAUCUUGACUUGAAUGCCCCAAAUGUCCAAAGGAUUCUCUUCCCCUUUUCAUGAAGAGACAAAAAGUACAAGGGCUCCUGGGAGCAUUUACCCCCAUAAAGACAGAGGAGCUGGCAGCAACCAUUCCCUUGUCCUAAUUCUUCCUUUGCCUCACUAUAUCUUGUAUUAUCCCCAGGUAGACCAGUGACAGUGUAGCUGAUCUGCAAGUGCCCGACACAGGUGUAAGUUAUAGAAAAUGCAAGAUUAAGGGCACCUUGGACAUUGCUGGAUCACAGAACUUCAGCUCUGAAAGGGAGCUUAGACUCUAAUUCAGACCUCUUUAUUUUUCUAAAAAGGACAUUAAGACUCAGGAAGGUUGGUUGAAUUGUCCAACAUCAUGAAGUCAGUGAGAAGUAGGGCUGGGACUAAACCGUGGGGAUUCUGGUCCCUGGAUUUCAUAGAAUAGUGACUAGUGUUUGGUCAACCUGGUAGGAGGUGUGAUAUAUGUUCAACACAGGAAAAAAAACAAAUGGGUUUUACUAGGGAAAUUUAAAAAAAGAAAGUGUUCCUUAUUAUUAGCACCUUCCCAUAGGCACCCUGGGCCUGCUCCCCAAGCUGUGGUACAAAAAUGGAAGGAGAAGGAAAUGGCCCAUUUUGUCAUAGCACAAAUCACUGUGGGAAAUAAUGUGGGCUUCAAAUUUGGGACAGGAACAAGACUAUUUGUUAAAGCAAGUAAGUUCUAUGAAAUAUCUUGAUUUGGAUUACAGUUGAGGGACAUCUCUUUCCAUUGAUUUAUUUGAGGGGCUGGGCAUAGUUUUGUCUAUCUAAGUUAGAAGAGAAGUUGGCAAGGACAGUGUUGCAUUAUUAUCCAUAAGCAUCAUUAAUGCAAGAAACAUGUCCUGAACACUUAGUAAGUGUGAAUGGAUAAAAGUACCCUCAGUCUUGGCUAGAAAUGAAAUUCUGUAAUUAUAUGAAUGACUUUUUCAACCCGAAUUUUCAUGACAUUUUUGUCAUGACAUUUCUCAUAUAACCUACCGCAUGUAAAGCAAGAUCUCCUAUUGGAUUCUGUCUUAUUUUUUGUCAUCUUCCAAUGGUCUUAGGCAAAUGAAGUUUAAGUAGUAAGAUUAUAUGCCUCCUCCCACUUUGGUGCAUGCACACAGAUGCAGGAACAUGCUUAGUAACUAAUCUUUGUGGGACAUAGGAAUGCCAGACAAGGACUUAGUUACAGGGAACCAUUUUGCAUAGAAUUAUGUCAGAGUGUGAACACAGGCUAUCAGAACCUUGCAUUUGGAAGUGGCACCCGACUUCUGAUCAGCCCAAGUAAGUCAGAUCUCCAGAAAUGUGUAAACUCACCUCCAAUAUUGGGUUUACAUUUUCAUAUGUAGCAUUCAGCAUGGUCUGUAAUGGAAUAUCAUUAUUAUUACCACUCCUAUUUUGUUAUUAUUGAUCAUAACAAUGCUACUAGCUCAGAAUAUACAUCCUGCCAUGUGUUUUUUGGGGUUUUUUUUUUGUUUGUUUGUUUGUUUUUUUGGUUUUGUUUUUUUUUUUUACCCUUUAAGGAGAAUCAGUGUCGAGGUACCAAGAGAAAAAUGUUUGAGUUUCCUUUGGAAUCAAGUAGCUUACUUGUUCAUUCAAUUGCCCCCUCUCUGAGGGUCAAUAUGAACAUCACAAUGUUUGGGGGUUUAUACUGCCUCCUUAUUAUCUGUCUCAGAAAUGCUUGUUUUUUUUUUUUUUUCCUGCCUAAGCACUUAGAUUUUGAAGCUCAUAUUUACCCAAAGUAUAGUUUCUUUUUAACCUCUCCCAAAAUUGGCCUCCUUGUCCCAAUAAUUAUGCACAGUAAAAAUCAGUUCAACUCAUUAAAUGAUUACUGCGUAUCAUCAAUA
rnacentral:lncRNA from 1 species